AUUGAACGCUGGCGGCAGGCUUAACACAUGCAAGUCGAACGAGUGGCGGACGGGUGAGUAAUGCUUGGGCAUCUAGCUUUUGGAGGGGGAUAACUACGGGAAACUGUAGCUAAUACCGCGUACCAUAGGAUUAGCCUAAGUGGGAUUAGGUAGUGGGUGGGGUAAAGGCUCACCAAGCCGACGAUCUCUAGCUGGUCUGAUGGGUUGACCGGCAAAACUGGAACUGGAAAACGGUCCAGACUCCUACGGGAGGAAGCAUUGGGGAAUAUUGCACAAUGGGGGCAAGCGGAUGCGGAAAUGCCGCGUGUGUGAAGAAGGCCUUCGGGUUGUAAAGCACUUUCAGCGAGGAGGCGUUACUCGCAGAGGAAGCACCGGCUAACUCCGUGCCAGCAGCCGCGGUAAUAC
rnacentral:rRNA from 1 species